rnacentral:rRNA from 1 species
UACGUAGGGGGCAAGCGUUGUCCGGAAUCAUUGUGCGUAAAGCGCGUGUAGGCGGCUAGGUAAGUCUGCUCUGAAAGCCCGGGGCUCAACCCCGGGAGGCGGGUGGAUACUGUCUAGCUCGAGUCCGGAAGAGGAGUGUGGAAUUCCUGGUGUAGCGGUGAAAUGCGCAGAUAUCAGGAGGAACACCAAUGGCGAAGGCAGCACUCUGGGACGUGACUGACGCUGAGACGCGAAAGCGUGGGGAGCAAACAGG